rnacentral:rRNA from 1 species
UACGUAGGUGGCAAGCGUUGUCCGGAUUUAUUGGGUUUAAAGGGUGCGUAGGCGGCUUUGUAAGUCAGUGGUGAAAUAUCGCAGCUCAACUGUGAGGGUGCCAUUGAUACUGCAAAGCUUGAGUACAGAUGAGGUAGGCGGAAUUGACGGUGUAGCGGUGAAAUGCUUAGAUAUCGGGAGGAAUACCGAUGGCGAAGGCAGGUCUCUGGGCUAUAACUGACGCUCAUGCACGAAAGCGUGGGGAGCAAACAGG